GACGAACGCUGGCGGCGUGCUUAACACAUGCAAGUCGAACGGAAAGGCCCUGCUCUUGUGGGGUGCUCGAGUGGCGAACGGGUGAGUAACACGUGAGUAACCUGCCCUUGACUUUGGGAUAACUUCAGGAAACUGGGGCUAAUACCGGAUAGGAGCUCCUGCUGCAUGGUGGGGGUUGGAAAGUUUCGGCGGUUGGGGAUGGACUCGCGGCUUAUCAGCUUGUUGGUGGGGUAGUGGCUUACCAAGGCUUUGACGGGUAGCCGGCCUGAGAGGGGGACCGGGCACCAUGCGCCUACGAUAGGGACCAGACGCCUACGGGACGCAGUGGGCGGGAGUAUUACAGAAUGGGGGGGAGCGUGUGACAACAACGCCGGGUGCGGGAUGACGGCCUUCGGGUUGUGAACCGCUUUCUCCUGUGACGAAGCGUGAGUGACGGUAAUGAGUAAAGAAGCACCGGCUAACUACGUG
rnacentral:rRNA from 1 species